CAGAUCAGUGUAUGUGUACCUUUAUAUAUUAACAUGAUGUGAAUAUAUCCUUGUUCCACGCAAAAGGCAUUACGAUGUAAGCUGUCUUGGAGAAUAGAAAAACCAAACCAAAGAUAUCAUGACAAGAAAUUGAAAGAGAAUUUAAGACAUGAGUCAACAAAGGACUGUCAUUUGGAUUAUUUUUUUCGACAUUUUAAACAACUUCACUGGUGCUAACUUGUGCGAUCUAACGAAGGAUCCAUGUCAGAAUUCAUCGUCGAUGUAUGAGGGAUAUUUGCGCUCUAAAAAUUGUCCCUUUAAUAAAACUCUUGGUUUGUGUGAUAGAUACUUAGAUACCCAAUGGUACAAAACAGAGGGAAAUAUGCUUAAUUAUUGCCCAUCACUACAUUCAUGUGGAGCUGAGUAUCCACUG